rnacentral:tRNA from 1 species
UGAUAAUAUCAAACUUUUUUUCAGACUAUAGUUUUAUGUUUUUUAAAAGAACUGAG